rnacentral:rRNA from 1 species
UACGGGGGGGGCAAGCGUUGUUCGGAAUUACUGGGCGUAAAGGGCUCGUAGGCGGCCAACUAAGUCGGAUGUGAAAUCCCCAGGCUUAACCUGGGAACUGCAUCCGAUACUGGAUGGCUUGAGUUCGGGAGAGGGAUGCGGAAUUCCAGGUGUAGCGGUGAAAUGCGUAGAUAUCUGGAGGAACACCGGUGGCGAAGGCGGCAUCCUGGACCGACACUGACGCUGAGGAGCGAAAGCCAGGGGAGCAAACGGG